GACGAACGCUGGCGGCAGGCUUAACACAUGCAAGUCGAGCGGGGUGAUGGUGCUUGCACUAUCACUUAGCGGCGAACGGGUGAGUAAUGCUUAGGAAUCUGCCUAUUAGUGGGGGACAACAUCUCGAAAGGGAUGCUAAUACCGCAUACGUCCUACGGGAGAAAGCAGGGGAUCACUUGUGACCUUGCGCUAAUAGAUGAGCCUAAGUCGGAUUAGCUAGUUGGUGGGGUAAAGGCCUACCAAGGCGACGAUCUGUAGCGGGUCUGAGAGGAUGGUCCGCCAGACCGGGGCUGAGACCCGGCCCAGACUCCUACGGGAGGCAGAAGUGGGGAAUAUUGGACAAUGGGGGGAACCCUGAUCCAGCCAUGCCGCGUGUGUGAAGAAGGCCUUAUGGUUGUAAAGCACUUUAAGCGAGGAGGAGGCUCUUUUGGUUAAUGCCCAAGAUGAGUGGACGUUACUCGCAGAAUAAGCACCGGCUAACUCUGUGCCAGCAGCCGCCGUAA
rnacentral:rRNA from 1 species